UACGAAGGGGGCUAGCGUUGCUCGGAAUUACUGGGCGUAAAGGGCGCGUAGGCGGAUAGUUUAGUCAGAGGUGAAAGCCCAGGGCUCAACCUUGGAAUUGCCUUUGAUACUGGCUAUCUUGAGUACGGGAGAGGUGUGUGGAACUCCGAGUGUAGAGGUGAAAUUCGUAGAUAUUCGGAAGAACACCAGUGGCGAAGGCGACACACUGGCCCGUUACUGACGCUGAGGCGCGAAAGCGUGGGGAGCAAACGGG
rnacentral:rRNA from 1 species